rnacentral:rRNA from 1 species
UACGAAGGGGGCUAGCGUUGCUCGGAAUUACUGGGCGUAAAGCGCACGUAGGCGGAUUGCUAAGUCAGGGGUGAAAUCCUGGAGCUCAACUCCAGAACUGCCUUUGAUACUGGAGAGCUCGAGUCCGGGAGAGGUGAGUGGAACUGCGAGUGUAGAGGUGAAAUUCGUAGAUAUUCGCAAGAACACCAGUGGCGAAGGCGGCUCACUGGCCCGGUACUGACGCUGAGGUGCGAAAGCGUGGGGAGCAAACAGG